UACGUAGGGUCCAAGCGUUAUCCGGAAUCACUGGGCGUAAAGCGUGCGUAGGUGGCGUGUUAAGUGUGAUGUUAAAUCGUGUGGCUCAACCAUAUCGAUGUGUCGCAUACUGGCAUGCUAGAGGGAAGCAGAGGCAAGUGGAAUUUGUAGUGUAGCAGUGAAAUGCGUAGAUAUUACAAGGAACACCAAUGGCGAAGGCAGCUCUCUGGGACGGUACUGACGCUGAGACGCGAAAGCGUGGGGAGCGAACAGG
rnacentral:rRNA from 1 species